rnacentral:rRNA from 1 species
UACAGAGGUCGCGAGCGUUUAAUCGGAUUUACUGGGCGUAAAGCGUGUGUAGGUGGUUAUACAAGUCGGUUGUGAAAUCCCCGGGCUCAACCCGGGAACUGCGUCCGAUACUGGCAGGCUUGAAUCCGGGAGAGGGAUGUGGAAGUUCCAGGUGUAGCGGUGAAAUGCGUAGAUAUCUGGAGGAACACCGGUGGCGAAGGCGGCAUCCUGGACCGGUAUUGACGCUGAGGCGCGAAAGCCAGGGGAGCAAAGCGGG